rnacentral:rRNA from 1 species
GAUGAACGCUGGCGGCGUGCCUAAUACAUGCAAGUCGAGCGAACGGACGAGAAGCUUGCUUCUCUGAUGUUAGCGGCGGACGGGUGAGUAACACGUGGAUAACCUAUCUAUAAGACUGGGAUAACUUCGGGAAACCGGAGCUAUUACCGGAUAAUAUUUUGAACCGCAUGGUUCAAAAGUGAAAGACGGUCUUGCUGUCACUUAUAGAUGGAUCCGCGCUGCAUUAGCUAGUUGGUAAGGUAACGGCUUACCAAGGCAACGAUGCAUAGCCGACCUGAGAGGGUGGUCGGCCACACUGGAACUGAGACACGGUCCAGACUCCUACGGGAGGCAGCAGUAGGGAAUCUGCCGCAAUGGGCGAAAGCCUGACGGAGCAACGCCGCGUGAGUGAUGAAGGUCUUCGGAUCGUAAAACUCUGUUAUUAGGGAAGAACAUAUGUGUAAGUAACUGUGCACAUCUUGACGGUACCUAAUCAGAAAGCCACGGCUAACUACGUG